UGCAAUUUUGCUCCUGUUGUACUUCUUGAUCAUAUAUUUAAAUUUAAAUAAAGAAAAAUCGUCUCAUUUCCACUGUCAUUGUUUAUCUUCAUUUCAGCUUGCUGAUUAACCUUGACUUAAUUGCUAUUGAAUGUUCUGCUUAAAACUAAUAACACAAUUGUAUUGUCUUUCUUUAUACGCUCCGAUUUAAUUAAUUGCAAGCGAAUCCAUUUGGAAGCUGUAUCGCUGCCAAACAGUGGGACCACUACUGUAAAAAUCUGUCAAUGAAACAAAUUAAGAGGACCUGCCAGGCAUCUCAAAUCGAUUACAAUCGAAUGUGUGUAUGGACAAAAAGAAAGAAAUGUCAUGUCACCAAAUCAACAAUGACAGAUAACAAAACAUCUGAUUUGGCUGGCAGCAACAAUAACGGUCUGGAUAAAAACAAGGAGCAAGGAUAUGUGGCAACAACAAGACGUUUAUAGAGUAACGGCUGUCAUAUUUUUUCAAUGGGUGGUGUCUGGGUACGUGAAUAUACGUUGAUACAUGCAUAUGCAUGUUUGUUUGAAGUCAUCAUCAAUGCUCAAAAGACAAUCAGUCAGCAAGUCGCUUUCAAAAUUAUGAUCACGAGCAUUUGACAUGUCAAUUUAGAACGCAACAACGGACACACAGCACAAACAUCAUUGCCAACUGACAUACGAGGUCCUCAAUGUGCCAAGUGUCCCAACGCGAAGUAAACACGAGUUGUUCUUGUCUUCGCCAAGAUGGUGCUUGCUUCGGCAAUCAUAGCCUCUGUUAUUGUUGUUUUUGGUUUUCGUCAAGAGUUGCGUACACAAACCGAAAUGUUUUGAAAAUAUACAGAAUCCAGUCCCGCCCGUCUACAAAAGGAGCUAAAAUUUAUGAACUUGUGUGUCCCGCUGUUUACACGUUCAUUUGGCCAUUAAGGGCACAGCUUGACAAAAUCUUCAAUAGAGUCAUCAUCACUUAGCCUUGAGUGUGAUUUUGUUUCUGAAAUAAGAGAACAGAGAGUCGAUAAUUGAAAGAGUGAUUAAAUGAAGAGAGGGGAGGAGAAAAAUCUCUUAAAUUACUAACUCAAAGAAUGUAAGAGAAGUGAUAUGUCCAAUGAAUGCGAAAUAAUAAGAAAAUUCAGAAUACACAAGUUUUGGGGCGAAAAGUGUUGACAUAUAUAGUCCUGAUUUUAAAUUCAAUAAAAAUUGGUAAUUUAGAGCA